rnacentral:rRNA from 1 species
AAACGUCCCAGUUCGGAUGUAGUCUGCAACCCGACUACAUGAAGCUGGAAUCGCUAGUAAUCGCGAAUCAGAAUGUCGCGGUGAAUACGUUCCCGGGUCUUGUACACACCGCCCGUCACACCAUGGGAGUCGGAAAUGCCCGAAGUCAGUGACCCAACCGUAAGGAGGGAGCUGCCGAAGGUGGAGCCGGUAACUGGGGUGAAGUCGUAACAAGGUAAC